ACACCGUUGGUGAAGUGGUUAUCAUGCUUGCCUUCCAAGCAAGCGGCUCGGGUUCGAUUCCCGAACGGUGUA
rnacentral:tRNA from 12 species